UGCGUAGGCGGCGGCAUAAGUCAGAAGUGAAAGUUGGCAGCUUAACUGCAAAAUUGCUUUUGAUACUGUGUUGCUUGAAUCAAGUUGAGGCUGGCGGAAUGUGGCAUGUAGCGGUGAAAUGCUUAGAUAUGCCAUAGAACACCAAUUGCGAAGGCAGCUGGCUAAGCUUGUAUUGACGCUGAGGCACGGAAGCGUGGGGAGCGAACAGGAUUAGAUACCCUGGUAGUCC
rnacentral:rRNA from 1 species